rnacentral:pre_miRNA from 1 species
UAGUUUUGUCUGAAGUCAAACUUUUUUAAAUUUGACCAAAUUUAUAUAAAAGAUUAUCAAUUUUUAUGAUACCAAAUAAACAUAAUAUAAAAAUAUAUGUCAUCAUAAAUCUAAUGAUACUUAUUUGGUUUCAUAAAAAAUAUUAAUUUUUUGUAUAAAUUUGAUCAAACUUAAGAGAGUUUGACUUCAGACAAAACCAA